AAGACUAUAUUUUCAGGGAUCAUUUCUAUAGUUCGUUACUAGAGAAGUUUCUCUGAACGUGUAGAGUACCCCUUAUGGA
rnacentral:snoRNA from 1 species